rnacentral:lncRNA from 1 species
CUAUUAUCUCCUUUGUCGUCCCUCUCCUCUUCUCCUUCCUCCUCAGUCGCCUUUUUACCGAUUUGUGUGCUCUUUUUCAGAAUUUUGUUUGUCAAUUAAUUUAAUUUUUUUUUCCUUUUAAUGUUCAUCUAAAUUUGUGCUUAUCUUAGCUUUGUCAUUGAGGUAAUAUAUGUCAUAGAAAUUGACUUCGUAUAAAUUUAUUGUAUAAACUUAUUACUCUUAGUAAUAGAUUUGUUUUUUUUUUAAGAUACAAAUGACAUCGUAUUCAAAUGAUGUUGUUCUUUUGAGCAUUUUGUCAAAAAGUGUUCUUUUUAGUGUAUUAAUUUUCUAACAAAUUUAUGAGAGCAGUAAUUAUUAUUUUGAUCUAAGUCGUAGAUAGAGACUACAACUUCUAAAAAUAUUAUUUCUCUUUUUUUUUUUUUGUACACUACUGAAUAAGUCAUUUGAGUUACACAAAAACUAAUAGAGUAAAAUUUUUUUUAAAAAAAACUAUUUAAAUUAGCAUGUCGCAUCAACAAACUAAACAUAGUAUAUAGAUUGUUGGCUUAUAGAUGUAUGAAAAGUGGGCUUUUACAAUUUAACGGUAAAUAAAAACUAACUAUUAUUAUUUUUAAAUUUAUUUGUAUGACUAUCAUAUAUUCCUUCAUACUUUUUCUUCCAUUCCUUUAUAUUCCGUACUAAUUUUUUGAUGCACGACAAUUUGGAUGUCCAUAAGCAAAUGCAAUAAUAAUUGGCUUUUAAAAGAAAUCUAAUUUGGAUUAGAAAAGAUGAUAGGACAGAUAAAUAUAUUUAUAUGAUUAGUUAAAUGUGAAUUUGAGUCUCUUUAGUUUCUCAUUCAUUAUUUGUUAUCCUUCAUACUAUUUCAAAUAUUUCUUUUAUUUUUUUUAACAUUUUUAUUUGUUUGUUAAAUAUGUAGUAUGUAGAUUUUUACUAAAACAUUCCUACCCGUCGCAUCGCACGGGUCCCUACGCUAGUAUAUAAUAAAGAGAAAACAUAAAAAUAUAAACUAAAAGAGUAAACUACUCAUAAUAUUAUAUAAAAA